AUUGAACUGUGCAUGCUCAUUCUCUUCUAAAUUAACAAGGCCUUGCAAGAACAUUAUAGCAGCCAUCCUUACAACCAACUGUGAUGCACUGCUACAGUCAUUUAGUACCAGUUUGCAUGUAGGAAAAGCAGAAUAAUCACCUGUUAUAGUACAGUAGUAAAUAGUUAUAGUUACUAAAAAGUAGAGUCAAAUUUUCCAAUUAGGAUUAAUACAGGAAAUAUUAUUAUUCUUAUUAUUAUGUUGACCAUAUUUUCCCUUUUACAACUAUGCCAUUUAAAUAGAUCAUAUAAGUUAUUUGUUGAUCCCCUUAAAUAAAUACAGUUCAUAAUGGUGUCUGCACAGCACCAUCCAUGCAAGCAUCAGCAGGGAAUUACAACUCUUGUGAAUAUUUCCACAUCAGAGCUGACAUGCUCAAAUUUUUCCUUUUAGAAGCAAAUAAUUCCUCAUAAGGAGCUACAGAGGGAGGGUCAGAGGAUACUAAUGUGCAGGGCUUUUGAUCAUUCAUGGAUUCAUGAUACAAGUUCAAAACCAAUAGAAAACAAUAGUUCUUUUUCUUCUAACUUAUGUUAAGGUAAUACCACACAGUACUUUACUAAAACAUUUGUGUCACUACCUGGUUGGGUUUCGUCCUUGGUUAGGAUUGAAAAUCAAUACAUACAUUCUUUUUAUGACAUGACCAUAUGUACAAUAUUUUUAAAAUUCUUAUGCGGUGACUCUUUUGGACUCUAAAGGCAGCAUUUUAAAUGUAAUUGCAGAUUGCGUUAGCUUGCAUGAAGAAAUACCCCCAUAGGGACAUAUCUGAGUGGAGGGCAGUCUGCCCUUUUUCCAUUUUUUGUCCAGUUGUUUUUCACUAGGAAAAACUUAGUUUUUUUGUACUUAAAAGUUAGAAUUUUUGUUGAGCUGAAAGCUGUAUGUAUGUUACUGUAAGUAUGCUUAAUUUCCAAGUUAGCAUUAGUCAAUGUAUUACAUCUCUUGGGAUUUAGUUGAACAGUCUUUGGAGAAUCUCUCUUGGCUAAUAGGAAUACAAAAGGCAAAAGACAAAAGGUCACACUGAUACACACAAACUUCUUCACAUUCCUACUUUUGAUGCCAAAACCACAGCAUCUCAGCUGUAAAAAAGUUGAACUUUUACUGCAGAAAAAAAGCUAUGUACAUAAAGACAUUUUCAAGAGCUGACUAAAAGAUUGAGCUCAUGAUCUAAACAGACUGUUUCAACUUCUUUCAAUGAUGCACUUGUUUAAGAUAAUUUAAAAUGUAUAAUUGUUUCCAUCUUAUAGAUUACAGAUGAAUGGAUGAGGUAGAAGAAUAUUUGUCUGUGUAGAGCCAGUUCUUUGCAGCAUGUCAUCUUUUCAUGGGUUUUGCUGACAGAACAAAAACGUCUCGAAUCACCAGGCUCAUCCUUUAAAGUGUGAGUUUGUAACUGAAUGUAACAGAUAGCCCAUUUUUAACUGACAUUCAUUUGUACAACUCUGCUUUAUUUUUGCCAGUUGACUUGAUAAAAUGUUUCUAUGAAUAUUUACACAAUGUCAUUAUAUAUUUUGCACUGUACAACAAUAAUUUUUUGUCAAGAUUAAUGGGGAGCAAUGUGAUGUAGCAUAGCAAUGGUCUCAAAGUGCUUUAAAAACACACAGUUUAGUGUUUGUGCCAGAUUUGAAUAUGUGACUUUUUCAGCUGUUCCAACCUUUAACUGGAUCAACUGCUUUAUUAUACAUAAAAAAAAACAUCUAUUUAUUUGGAUGUGUUUUACCCACAUGUAUUUUUCCUCCUGUGAGCCACUUGUUGUUCUUUGGCAGAGUGAUUAGCUAUUUGUGGAAUACGUGCAAUACAACCUGUCAGUUAUAAAGAUAUUAAAAGUAUUAAUAGUUUCACAGUAAUGUUUUUGUUCCAGCUAAUGUCCCUUCAUUUCCAUCAUGCUUCAAUCCAGGAUUCAAUUUGUAAGUUUGUAAAUUUAAUUUUUCCAGUAGAGGUAAAACUCUUGGACACUGAAAGACAAAUGGGAGGACUUUUACUGAGACAAUUUGAUAAGGAUAAACUUUGUAGGCAAUUUUUAGCAACCAGAUCUGAUAGCAAAAGCUGAGUAGCAUUGGAAAGACUUAUAUAAGCAAUAUAAUUCAUUUUUCUUUGUCAAAUAAAACUGGUUUGGGUUUACCGCCAUCUCACA